GAUGAACGCUGGCGGCGUGCUUAACACAUGCAAGUCGAACGAUGAAGCCCAGCUUGCUGGGUGGAUUAGUGGCGAACGGGUGAGUAACACGUGAGUAACCUGCCCUUAACUCUGGGAUAAGCCUGGGAAACUGGGUCUAAUACCGGAUAGGAGCGUCCACCGCAUGGUGGGUGUUGGAAAGAUUUGUCGGUUUUGGAUGGACUCGCGGCCUAUCAGCUUGUUGGUGAGGUAAUGGCUCACCAAGGCGACGACGGGUAGCCGGCCUGAGAGGGUGACCGGCCACACUGGGACUGAGACACGGCCCAGACUCCUACGGGAGGCAGCAGUGGGGAAUAUUGCACAAUGGGCGCAAGCCUGAUGCAGCGACGCCGCGUGAGGGAUGACGGCCUUCGGGUUGUAAACCUCUUUCAGUAGGGAAGAAGCGAAAGUGACGGUACCUGCAGAAGAAGCACCGGCUAACUACGUG
rnacentral:rRNA from 1 species